AGAGCAGAGGGAAGACCCUCACUCGAACACAAAAGAAAAAGAGAGAUGAAAAGAGAUAGCGAUGAACUACACCAACGAUAAGUGGAAAAUAAACUACAUCGAAGACCCGAGGGACCUCGUCUCGACAAAGAAGGAUACUCCUAUCAAAAAAAAAAAAACCUCAGCCACUAAAAGGAAACUCGGCACAGGCCGAGGACAAAUCGACUUCCUCAGAGUAACGAGAAGUUCGAGCCCU
rnacentral:lncRNA from 1 species